UGUAAAGUGUGUUUUACAGUUGUUUAAAUAAGAGAAAUACCGUGAACUGCUCACCUCUCCUCAGAAGAUCGCUGCAGCUGCGUCCGAAAGCUUUGAUGACUCUUUGUUCAGGGUUUCUCCUGAAAGUGAUUUGUUACUCAGCUCUCACUGAAUCCAGGACUGCAGCCGUUGAGCUCAAGAACAAAAAAGAGG